CCCCCCCCCCCCCCCCCCGCGGCUGUCGCAAUCUCUCCUCCUCGCUCCGUGCGAUUCCCCGCCGCCGCCGCAGUCCACUACCGGACCAGCGCCCUCGUUGCCGCUCCUCCUCUCUCCGCACCUCCUCACGUGUCCCCGCCCGCCGCCGCACUCCACCGCAGCCUGCCCUCGCCGGCGCCGUGGUGGUUCCCCCUUCCGCCGGACUAGCUCCUAGGACUGCUCCCGAAGAAGCCAAGGUUGUUCCCCGCCGCCGCCGCCGCACUCCACUACGGCCUACCCCCAUCGCCACCGAGGUGGUUUCCCCCUUCCUCCGAAGCCUCGCCCGGGACUGCCCCCGACGACGCCGGGGUGGUAUGCCCUUUCUCUAGACCCGUUGCGCCACACGCCGUGCUUGUCUGCGAGUUUCCUCCCCGCUGGGGAGAUGGAGGCCACGGCAGAGGCGCCUAAUUGAGAGGAGUUUAUAACAUCUUGAUUGGUGUAGUAAGUGCUUGAUGGAAUCCCCCUGGAUGGCAGCACCUCUUGCCACAAGGUUUGGAGGAGAACAGCAAGCAGAUGCACCAAAGGGGGCUCAAAUCUGAGGAAUGAUGCGACAAAAAUGAGCUUGCUGGACAAGAAUCCUGGUAGGAUAUGACAUGAGUUCAUAAAGCUAAUCGCUACUGCAACCAUCUCUGGUGAGUUUUUUUUUCUUGUUUUCAGAAAUAUCACAUAGGAAAUGGACGAGAUGAGCACUUGUAUCUGCAGAUGCUUAGGCGAAGUUUGGAUUCCAUUCAAAGGAAAUGCAAAAAAAAAUUAUUAUGCUCAUUGGAUCAUUUUUAGGCGUACUGAUCAUACUAAUCCAGAUUAGUACAGGUGUAUAACAUCUUGCUGUUAAGGUAUUCUUGAUGCUCAUUGAUUACAUGGAAAGUUGAUGCUUUCAAAUUGAUAUGAGUUUGAUUAUGUCAGUUUACAUUCUUAGUGAAGUAAUUUAUAAUUGACUCAUAGCACUAAUAAGUAGUCUGCAUCUUAUGUUUCCUGUGAACUUCUCUCUGCACUCACUUAAUUCAAAGUUCUCUGCACUCACUUAAUUGAAUGUUGGGACUUGGGAUUAUAAGCUCUGUUCUAAUAUGCCUUCUCACCUAUACAAAAUUUCAACAAACUCCCAACCUGUUAUUCAUCCGGUCCUUAACCUCGACCAGGAAUUAUUAUUCACAUUGGUUUUCAUCUUUUAAGAUCAUGGUUGAUAAAAGUUUCCUAUGGUCAUAUAUCUUAUAUUAAAAUUUCAAGUCUCUGAUAAUUUAUUCGAGGGUUCAUAAAAGCCAAGCUGAUUAAAGAAAAUGUUUGGUAAGAACUACACAUUUUGAUUUUAUUUGCUGAGUUACAUAAAACUGAUGAAGUGAUACUGAAUUUGACAAGGUGCAAACCUACAAUUAUUUUCUUGUUUAGUAAAUCAUAAGUACAUAUAUUUGUGACAUUCUCAAGAACUGGAGUGCGCUUCAGGAUUUGUUAGCGGCAACAAUAAGAUACUUUUACAGGACACUGAAUUUGACAAGGUGAAAGACCAUAAUGAUCUAAUCUGAUUUUCUUUUCCUUGUGUUUAUGUAAAAAAUCCUACAUAACCCAGUACGAUCAAAUGGUUAACAGAUUUAAUCUCUGUAUGUUCUAUAUCUUAGUGCUAGAGAUACAUUCCUGUUAUUACAGUAAUGAGGUGCUUUUAGUUCACAGAUCUAGCUAGGGGUCUCACAUGUUCAGAAUAGAGUUAUGGAGAUAUUUUCUGGUUGCAGAUUGCUAAGGCGAGGGGAUCGUUCUAUAAUAGCAUUUUUUUAAGAAGGAAAGUUAUUUUGUAACUAUCAUCAAAUGAGAAUGGAAAUAAACUGACAAUUUGAUAUGUUUCUAUUUGCAAUAAUAUAAGUUGAUAUGUUUCUAUUUGCAAUAAUAUAUGUUACGAAACGUGCCAUGCACUUGCAUGUUCACUAAUAUUCAUAAAUGUAUAUAAACAUUGUACUCACUCCGUUUACAACCUUCAGGUUGUAAGACGUUUUGACUUUGGUCAAAGUCAAACUACUUCAAUUUUAACUAAGUUUAUGCACAAAUAUUGUAAUAUUUAUAAUACCGAGUUAGUUUUAUUAAAUCAAUAAUUGAAUAUAUUAUCAUAAUAAAUUCGUGUUGAGUUGAAAAUAAUAUUUUUUCUAUAAACUUAGUCAAACUUGAAGCAGUUUGAAUUUGACCAUGAAACGGAGGGAGUACAUUUAAAAGUAUACUUUGAUUUUUUUUCAGUUUUAUAUUUGUAUACUACUGAGAAAAAAAAAUCAAAAUAUGAUAGUAAUAUGUGCUAUAAAAAUACCGGUGAAGAUGGUAUUAUAAGGAUAUAAAAGUGUAUUUCGUAAAUAUUUUAUCUUACUUUCAUAAAUAUAGAGGUAUUGAAUAUAAGCUAUUCGAAUUUGUAAAAUUAGGAGAAAUAUUUGUUUUUUCAUUUUUUAUACUCCAUCUUUUUUUAAUAGAUGACUGUCGACGGUGGAUACCCGUAGACCGGAUAUGGAGGGUAUUGGGGUACACUGGUACGAGGAUCUACGUAGUACGACAUCAAGCAAACAGAAAACAUAGAUUAUACUGGUUUAGGCCCCUCGAUAGGUAAUAGCCAUAGUCCAGUUGGUAUGGGAUUAUAUGAUGAGAACCACAGAUUACAAAGGGAAUAGCAAAACUCGAUGAUACUGACGAGACCGUAGUGGAGUUGGUUCGACUAGAUCACUCGACGACUUGGCUCCUGUAGGUUCCCGACGACUUGGCUCCUGUAGGUUCCGACUUCGUAGGCUGUGGUGGUUGUGUUGGCGAUAAGAUUCGAUGCCUUAGGUCCCCCUGGGGGGUCCCUUUUAUACCGCAGGUCAGUUGAUCUCCAAGUAGAACUCGGGGACAUCAGACCCUACACGAUGCAGUGACGACCCAGUUCUAUCCGAGUAGGACUCCUUCCGUCUGUGGACUCCGUGAUGGAUUUCCUUUUCAUGUACAGAAAGCGUCCGUAUACAGCAGGUAUACCAUAUCAGUACACGACGUAUAUCCAAGGGUAGAGGGUAUACCUUAUCCGUGACCCUGACAGUAGCUUCCGACUUCGACUUAAAUGAACUCAUGUAACCGAUCGCGACUUCGAUAUCGGGGUUGUUGUCAUUCUCGACUGGUCGAUCUCGGUAUGAAAACCGUAGAGGCAAAGAGUAAUCGACUACACCAUGUGGAGUUCAACGGUCAUGAGUGAAUUUAAAUUGAAGUCCGAAAACUGCUGCGCGUAACGGACCCAGAAAUUUCCGGCGGUCAUAUAUCUCCCUUCCUUUGAAUUCGCACCGUCGGUAGUGCGUCUAUUUAAGGAAGUUUUGGGGAUCCAUUUUGAAGUCCGCUUAGUGCAAAGAAAACUUUCCAGCCUCCAAGCGCUCCUCGUCUUCUCCGCUCCCGCAAAAACCCUAGCUUGCUCAUCUCAGUCCCUUCUCCAGCGAUCUCCGGCGGCAAUGGAUCUCGACAAGUCCACUUCCACCAGCGCGUCCCUGAUGAAGUUGCAGGAGGACGGUGCUCUCCCUGGCCGUGGGACCAUGGAGAGAGAACUAGGAGGUAUUGAACCCGAACCCGUCCUGGGCCGCAUGGUUGCGGUUGAGGAUUAUAUUCUUUGUGGUUUUCUUCUUCCGCCUUCCGAGUUUCUUCUCAUUGUCUUAAACUUGUACAGUCUUUCUUUGCUCCAUUUGAACCCCAAUUCUAUUGCCUUCCUCAGUAUCUUUUCCUAUCUUUGCGAGGCCUACAUUGGGGUAGAGCCGUUUCUUGAUCUCUUUCGCUUCUACUACGAGUUGCGCUAGAUGGAACCUAAAAAGGUAUCCGGAUGUGUCGGUUUCCGGCUUCGGGAUGGCCUGAAGUCGCGAUACAUCCCCUUCCAGUGCCCCUCUUCUCGUAGCAAAUGGCGGGCGAGGUGGUUCUAUCUUCAGAUUGAAAACUCGGAUCCAGUCUUUGUUUUCCCUAAGGAGCAACCAGACAAGAUUUCCGAAUGGACCGCCAAACCCGCCCUAACCCCUUCCCUUCAGUCUUUCAUCGAUGUCAUCGAUGACCUCCGAGUACAAGGGUUAUCGGGGUAUGAAGUCGUUGCCGACUUCAUCGGCCCUUCCCUUCAGUCUUUCAUCGAUGUCAUCGAUGACCUCCGAGUACAAGGGUUAUCGGGGUAUGAAGUCGUUGCCGACUUCAUCGGUAGGCGGAUUUAGCCGGUCCAGGCCCGAGCCCACCUAGCCUUUGUCUAUUCUGGGCCGGAGGACGCGACCCGGGUUACUCCUCAGGGUUUAAACAGCGAAACCGUGGAGCGCCGCGUCGGUCAUGGGAUGAUCAGCGGCCCUACGACGGCGAGCAACGUCCCCGUCCCUCUUUGCGAGAAGGGGAAGGCUGAUCGCGAGGCUGUGAUCAACGCUCUCCCUCUGACUGAUGUCAUUGGGCCGCUCGUGGACCACCAGGCAGCGGCCUCGUUGAAAGAGGGCGUCGCCAAGGAGGCAUCCGACAUUGCUGCUAUUGCUGCUGCUGCUACAACGAGUGGCCGCAACAUUCCGAAGAGGGGGAGGAAGUUCUCCUCCGUGCUCGGGAAUCGUCGGAAGGCGCCUACCCCAUCGGCAUCGGACGCGUCUCCCCCGCCUCAGCGAUUGCAAAGGCUGGUGACGCUUGGCGAGAUGGUGGCGCGGGCGUAGGCGACGCAAGACGGGUCUGGAGGAAACUCCAGUGCGUCUCCUGCAGCGGCUUCGACAGAUGUCGUGGUCGUGCCCAGGAGCCGUGAGGCGACACCCAGCGGCCCUGCCGGCGGCCUUGUGCCUGCUCGAGGCCCGCCUGCUGACGUCCUCACCUGGGGGGAGCUCCAAAUCGAGAUGGAGCGCAUCCUCUAGUCUGGUGCUCGCGGCAUAGGUCGCGAGAUUGAGGAGGCGAAGGUGGCGGCGGCGGCGUCCGCGAACGAACGCGCCGACAAACUGGCGCGUGACCUGGCGGAGGUCCGGGAGGACCUCCAGAAGAUGAGAGAGCUGGUGGCCGGCAACGAGAGGCAGCAGCAGGGGCUCGAGCACCGCAUGUCAGAGCUCGAGAACAACUUGUCGGAGAUCCGCGGCUCGCUGCAGGUCACCUACACCGGUCUGCACCAGUUCACCGGGGAGUGCGGCGUCACGACCACCAUCCCGGCGAACCCUGAUGACUUCUCGUUGACGUCCUCACUCGUGGAAUUGGCCACGGCGAUGGAGGAGAUUCCUUCCAAGCAUGCGGCCAAGAUUAGGGAGGAGACGUCCAACGGGAUAUAUACCGGGGCGUGCCACGUCCUCGCGUGCGUAAGAUUGGCGCACCCUGAACUCGACUUCUAGAGGAUCUUGGAUCAGGGGGCUGCUAGUGACGCGCGCAAGGGCGUGAUGGAAGAAGUCGGUGACUUGGGGGAGUCUGUUCUCCCCCUCUUUGAAGAGUAGGAUUUCAGUUCCCCUGUACUCCGUAGUCAAUUAUGCUUGUAAAACUUUUGUUGGUUCAAACUGCCUUUGUGUAUGCAAUCAUCUCCUUCGUUUUCUUUAGCA